UUUGAAGUUAGUAGUUUUUAUGUGUAAUACACGUCUAAAAUAAAGGUACUCGAUGACAAGACUGACGCUAAUCUUCUGCGAGCUUCCUUUAACUACAACGAACCGUUGUGCUGAGAGAUGUCAAAAACCUGGUUUUAUUGAAAUGAGAUAUUAUGUAAAG
rnacentral:lncRNA from 1 species